rnacentral:tRNA from 1 species
AAUGCAGGCUCUAGCGGGAUAAACAUCAAUACGUAGUCUAAACUGGUUAAACCAUGAAGCUUUUGAUAAUCCUUAUUACUUAAACCUUUAA